rnacentral:rRNA from 1 species
AGGACGAACGCUGGCGGCAUGCCUAACACAUGCAAGUCGAACGAGACCUUCGGGUCUAGUGGCGCACGGGUGCGUAACGCGUGGGAACCUGCCCUUAGGUUCGGAAUAACUCAGAGAAAUUUGAGCUAAUACCGGAUAAUGUCUUCGGACCAAAGAUUUAUCGCCUUUGGAUGGGCCCGCGUAGGAUUAGCUUGUUGGUGGGGUAAUGGCCUACCAAGGCGACGAUCCUUAGCUGGUCUGAGAGGAUGAUCAGCCACACUGGGACUGAGACACGGCCCAGACUCCUACGGGAGGCAGCAGUGGGGAAUAUUGGACAAUGGGCGAAAGCCUGAUCCAGCAAUGCCGCGUGAGUGAUGAAGGCCUUAGGGUUGUAAAGCUCUUUUACCCGGGAUGAUAAUGACAGUACGGGAGAAUAAGCUCCGGCUAACUCCGUGCCAGCAGCCGC